rnacentral:rRNA from 1 species
UGAGUAAUGUCUGGGAAACUGCCUGAUGGAGGGGGAUAACUACUGGAAACGGUAGCUAAUACCGCAUAACGUCGCAAGACCAAAGAGGGGGACCUUCGGGCCUCUUGCCAUCAGAUGUGCCCCAGAUGGGAUUAGCUAGUAGGUGGGGUAAUGGGCUCACCUAGGCGAACGAUCCCUAGCUGGUCUGAGAGGAUGACCAGCCACACUGGAACUGAGACACGGUCCAGACUCCUACGGGAGGCAGCAGUGGGGAAUAUUGCACAAUGGGCGCAAGCCUGAUGCAGCCAUGCCGCGUGUGUGAAGAAGGCCUUCGGGUUGUAAAGCACUUUCAGCGAGGAGGAAGGUGGUGAACUUAAUACGUUCAUCAAUUGACGUUACUCGCAGAAGAAGCACCGGCUAACUCCGUGCCAGCAGCCGCGGUAAUACGGAGGGUGCAAGCGUUAAUCGGAAUUACUGGGCGUAAAGCGCACGCAGGCGGUUUGUUAAGUCAGAUGUGAAAUCCCCGGG